rnacentral:rRNA from 1 species
CCCUCUCGGGUUACCGAAUUCAGACAAACUCCGAAUGCCAAUUAAUUUAACUUGGGAGUCAGAACAUGGGUGAUAAGGUCCGUGUUCGAAAGGGAAACAGCCCAGACCACCAGCUAAGGUCCCAAAAUAUAUGUUAAGUGGAAAAGGAUGUGGCGUUGCCCAGACAACUAGGAUGUUGGCUUAGAAGCAGCCAUCAUUUAAAGAGUGCGUAAUAGCUCACUAGUCGAGUGACACUGCGCCGAAAAUGUACCGGGGCUAAACAUAUUACCGAAGCUGUGGAUUGUCCUUUGGACAAUGGUAGGAGAGCGUUCUAAGGGCGUUGAAGCAUGAUCGUAAGGACAUGUGGAGCGCUUAGAAGUGAGAAUGCCGGUGUGAGUAGCGAAAGACGGGUGAGAAUCCCGUCCACCGAUUGACUAAGGUUUCCAGAGGAAGGCUCGUCCGCUCUGGGUUAGUCGGGUCCUAAGCUGAGGCCGACAGGCGUAGGCGAUGGAUAACAGGUUGAUAUUCCUGUACCACCUAUAAUCGUUUUAAUCGAUGGGGGGACGCAGUAGGAUAGGCGAAGCGUGCGAUUGGAUUGCACGUCUAAGCAGUAAGGCUGAGUAUUAGGCAAAUCCGGUACUCGUUAAGGCUGAGCUGUGAUGGGGAGAAGACAUUGUGUCUUCGAGUCGUUGAUUUCACACUGCCGAGAAAAGCCUCUAGAUAGAAAAUAGGUGCCCGUACCGCAAACCGACACAGGUAGUCAAGAUGAGAAUUCUAAGGUGAGCGAGCGAACUCUCGUUAAGGAACUCGGCAAAAUGACCCCGUAACUUCGGGAGAAGGGGUGCUCUUUAGGGUUAACGCCCAGAAGAGCCGCAGUGAAUAGGCCCAAGCGACUGUUUAUCAAAAACACAGGUCUCUGCUAAACCGUAAGGUGAUGUAUAGGGGCUGACGCCUGCCCGGUGCUGGAAGGUUAAGAGGAGUGGUUAGCUUCUGCGAAGCUACGAAUCGAAGCCCCAGUAAACGGCGGCCGUAACUAUAACGGUCCUAAGGUAGCGAAAUUCCUUGUCGGGUAAGUUCCGACCCGCACGAAAGGCGUAACGAUUUGGGCACUGUCUCAACGAGAGACUCGGUGAAAUCAUAGUACCUGUGAAGAUGCAGGUUACCCGCGACAGGACGGAAAGACCCCGUGGAGCUUUACUGUAGCCUGAUAUUGAAAUUCGGCACAGCUUGUACAGGAUAGGUAGGAGCCUUUGAAACGUGAGCGCUAGCUUACGUGGAGGCGCUGGUGGGAUACUACCCUAGCUGUGUUGGCUUUCUAACCCGCACCACUUAUCGUGGUGGGAGACAGUGUCAGGCGGGCAGUUUGACUGGGGCGGUCGCCUCCUAAAAGGUAACGGAGGCGCUCAAAGGUUCCCUCAGAAUGGUUGGAAAUCAUUCAUAGAGUGUAAAGGCAUAAGGGAGCUUGACUGCGAGACCUACAAGUCGAGCAGGGUCGAAAGACGGACUUAGUGAUCCGGUGGUUCCGCAUGGAAGGGCCAUCGCUCAACGGAUAAAAGCUACCCCGGGGAUAACAGGCUUAUCUCCCCCAAGAGUUCACAUCGACGGGGAGGUUUGGCACCUCGAUGUCGGCUCAUCGCAUCCUGGGGCUGUAGUCGGUCCCAAGGGUUGGGCUGUUCGCCCAUUAAAGCGGUACGCGAGCUGGGUUCAGAACGUCGUGAGACAGUUCGGUCCCUAUCCGUCGUGGGCGUAGGAAAUUUGAGAGGAGCUGUCCUUAGUACGAGAGGACCGGGAUGGACAUACCUCUGGUGUACCAGUUGUCGUGCCAACGGCAUAGCUGGGUAGCUAUGUGUGGACGGGAUAAGUGCUGAAAGCAUCUAAGCAUGAAGCCCCCCUCAAGAUGAGAUUUCCCAACUUCGGUUAUAAGAUCCCUCAAAGAUGAUGAGGUUAAUAGGUUCGAGGUGGAAGCAUGGUGACAUGUGGAGCUGACGAAUACUAAUCGAUCGAAGACUUAAUCAAAUU